rnacentral:tRNA from 1 species
UGGCUCAGUGGUUAAGAGCACUGACUGCUAUUCCAGAGGUCCUGAGUUCAAAUCUCAG